ACCAAAUCAGUAAUUAAACAUAAAAUUAGAUAUUCAAUGCCAAUCACGUGAAACAACACCGUUUAAAAUUGGAUCCAAAUGAAAAUAAAGUUAAAUAUGCGGUACAAAUUAAGAAAAUGGUAAGAAAACUGAAUCGAACAACUCCCAAAUGAAGAAGGGCUCAUAGUGCAAAUAAACCAAAAUGUCAGAACGCGCGGAUCCUCCCCAGGUCAAAUUGGAUCAUCAUGUCACAGGCUGUACGACGUCGUUUUGAGGCCACUGAAACCGGCCACAAACGACGUCGUUCUACAGGCGUAUUAAAAGACAAAAAAAAAACUGUUAAACCGUUCACUAUUUCAAAAUAAAAAGGAAAAGAAAAAAAGGAUAAAAAACCCUAAGGGUUUCGUUCCCUUCCCAAGUGCUGCCCUUUGCCUCAACUCCGAUUACCAGAGGAGGACGCGAGCUUCAACGGCGCCGAUGACAAGGUAAGAUUCCCUCCCUUCUUUAUAUUUUUUGCAUAUAAAAAUCAGAACAAAUAGAAGAAAACGCAAGAAAAUAAGAAAAUAAAAAAUAAAAAAAUAAAACCAAGUCGAACGAUCAACUAAACGAUGUAUUCUUUUGUGUUUCUCAAUUCUUUUGUGUUUUAUGCAUUGAUUUCG
rnacentral:lncRNA from 1 species